CUACGGGGGGCUCCAGUGGGGAAUCUUGCGCAAUGGGCGAAAGCCUGACGCAGCAACGCCGCGUGCGGGAUGAAGGCCUUCGGGCUGUAAACCGCUUUCAGCAGGAACGAAAAUGACGGUACCUGCAGAAGAAGGAGCGGCCAACUACGUGCCAGCAGCCGCGGUGACACGUAGGCUCCAAGCGUUGUCCGGAUUUAUUGGGCGUAAAGAGCUCGUAGGCGGUUGAGUAAGUCGGGUGUGAAAACUCUGGGCUUAACCCGGAGACGCCAUCCGAUACUGCUCUGACUAGAGUUCAGGAGGGGAGUGGGGAAUUCCUAGUGUAGCGGUGAAAUGCGCAGAUAUUAGGAGGAACACCGGUGGCGAAGGCGCCACUCUGGACUGAAACUGACGCUGAGGAGCGAAAGCAUGGGUAGCAAACAGGAUUAGAUACCCCAGUAGUC
rnacentral:rRNA from 1 species